GAGGGAAGAAACAGAAACGCCCCGCGGAGAGAAAAACUCAACUUGUGACUCGUCAGUCGAGCAUGAGACCAGAGACGUGAGGAGAUGGAGGUCGAGGGCCGGUUGAAACUUGAGCAAUUCGGAAUGGUUGACCAGGCUGCUCGACCGGCUGGCCGCGGAUGAUGAUUUUCCGUCUCCCACGUGCAUGCGCACCACCGUCGACGUAGUGAACGCGCUGCGGACGUUCCUCUCCGGUUUAGCGAGGAUAAUGUAAACCUUCGGCACAAACAUGCAACACAGAGCUACGGUGGCGCUCAGACUGACGGAGAAGCACAUGGUGAUGGUCUUGUAGUUCGAGCCGAA